rnacentral:rRNA from 1 species
CCUACGGGUGGCAGCAGUAAGGAAUAUUGCGCAAUGGACGAAAGUCUGACGCAGCAACGCCGCGUGAAGGAAGAAGGUUUUCGGAUUGUAAACUUCGUUAUAAGCACCGGCUAACUACGUGCCAGCAGCAGCGGUCAUACGUAGGGUGCAAGCGUUAUUCGGAUUUACUGGGCGUAAAGAGUUAUGUAGGUGGUUUUGUAAGUCAGGGGUUAAAUACCGCAGCUUAACUGCGGCAAGGCUUUUGAUACUGCAUUACUAGAAUUAGUUAGGGGUCAGCAGAACAUAUGGUGUAGUAGUGAAAUGCGUUGAUAUCAUAUGGAAUACCAAGGGGGAAGCCAGCUGACUGGGACUAUAUUGACACUGAGAUACGAAAGCGUGGGGAGCGACACGGAUUAGAUACCCUUGUAGUC